rnacentral:rRNA from 1 species
GUGCCAGCAGCCGCGGUAAUACGUAGGUGGCAAGCGUUAUCCGGAAUUACUGGGCGUAAAGCGCACGCAGGCGGCUCUUUAAGUUUGACGUGAAAGCUCCCGGCUUAACUGGGAGAGGUCGUUGAAGACUGGGGAGCUUGAGGCAAUGAGAGGGGUGUAGAAUUCCCGGUGUAGUGGUGGAAUGCGUAGAUAUCGGGGGGAAUACCAGUGGCGAAAGCGGCACCCUAGCAUUAGCCUGACGCUCAUGUGCGAAAGCGUGGGGAGCGAACGGGAUUAGAAACCCUCGUAGUCC